CCCUUAGAUGUUCUGGGCGGCCCGCGCACUACAUUGGCACUGGCAACAAGAUCCUAGAUCUGAUAUUUCGGGGUAUUCUACCAACUGGUGUCGUGACUGGGAUUAACCCCUGCAAUUAUUGGUUAUGAACGAGGAAUUCCUUGUAAUCACGGUUUAUCAACCCGUGUUGAAUGCGUCCCUGCCCUUUGUACACACCGCCCGUCGCUCCUACCGAUGAAUCGUCCGGUGAAGUUCAUGGAGUCGCUGCUGCUCCAGCUGUUUUCGAAGUGAAAUGGACCUCNUNAUUUAANGGAAGGAGAANUCGUANCA
rnacentral:rRNA from 1 species